CAAUAGCGUAUAUUAAAGUUGUUGCAGUUAAAAAGCUCGUAGUUGGAUUUCUGAUCGAGACAUCAGGUCGGGUCCGAGAGGAUCAUGUACUUUGAUUUUGUUUUGAUCAUCCUUGGGGAGAGCAUUUCUGGCAUUCAGUUGUCGGGAUUGGGAUCCUCAUCGUUUACUGUGAAAAAAUUAGAGUGUUCAAAGCAGGCCUCGGCCUCUGAAUACAUUAGCAUGGAACAAUAAGAUAGGACUUUGGUGGUCUAUUUUGUUGGUUUGCACGCCAAAGUAAUGAUUAAUAGGGACAGUUGGGGGUAUUCGUAUUCAAUUGUCAGAGGUGAAAUUCUUGGAUUUAUGGAAGACGAACUACUGCGAAAGCAUUUACCAAGGAUGUUUUCAUUAA
rnacentral:rRNA from 1 species